UCCCUAAGCCAUUCCUCAUAGGAAACCUUUCACCAUUUUGGUCACCCUACUCUGGAUAUGCUACAGCUUGUCAACAACAUUCUUGAAUUGAGGUGCCCAGAAUUGGACACAGUAUUCCAGGUCUUCAGCCUUUAGCUGGUUGAGAUCAAAAGAUGCUCAAUUGUCAUGAUAAAAGCUACCCAGGAUGAUUAACCCUGAGCCGCAGAGCAGGAACCAGUAAUAUUUCAGUGGACAAAUAAAGCCUCCAUACACAAGGGCACAGAAAUCAGAAACAAGAACCAUAUGCAGAACAGAAAGAUGAUCUUGCAAACUGACUGCAGCAGUGAAUUGUAAAUUAAUGCACAACAUGGCCCUAAAGAAUCAGAGUCAAUAUUUAAUUGCUCUGGGAAAGAAAAAAGAUACCACGUAGCUAUGCGGAAAGAAUCUGAUACAAAUCAAAGCAAGGUCUGAACACUGAACAGUGUUGCAUUGGACUAG